CCACGGGUGGCUGCAGUGAGGAAUAUUGGUCAAUGGACGAGAGUCUGAACCAGCCACGUAGCGUGAAGGGUGACUGCCCUAUGGGUUGUAAACUUCUUUUAUAUGGGAAUAAAAUGUUCCACGUGUGGGAUUUUGUAUGUACCAUAUGAAUAAGGAUCGGCUAACCCCGUGCCAGCAGCCGCGGUAAUACGGAGGAUCCGAGCGUUAUCCGGAUUUAGUGGGUUUAAGGGGAGCGUAGGUGGAUUGUUAAGUCAGUUGUGAAAGUUUGCGGCUCAACCGUAGAAUUGCAGUUGAAACUGGCAGUCUUGAGUACAGUAGAGGUGAGCGGAAUUCGUGGUGUAGCGGUGAAAUGCUUAGAUAUCACGAAGAACUCCGAUGGCGAAGGCAGCUCACUGGACUGCAACUGACACUGAGGCUCGAAAGUGUGGGUAUCAAACAGGAUUAGAUACCCCUGUAGUC
rnacentral:rRNA from 1 species